CCUCACGAACAGAGACGGGUCAGUGCACCUAUUCUCCUGGAACUAUUUUCAGCUACCGCCUCGUGUCUGGCCGGUCAAAUCUUCCACACAAUGCCAUUCCCGUUCUACUGAACCGAUCUUAGUGAUUCCUGCAUAUGUUGGUCACUCAGAUCGGGGCUAUCAGGGAAUGUACAUUUUUUGCGGGUUCUUAUGCAUGGUUGGGGG